CAACUUGAGAGUUUGAUCCUGGCUCAGAACGAACGCUGGCGGCAGGCCUAACACAUGCAAGUCGAGCGGGCCCUUCGGGGUCAGCGGCGGACGGGUGAGUAACGCGUGGGAACGUGCCUU
rnacentral:ncRNA from 1 species